AAAAUUAGAGUGUUCAAAGCAGGCAGAUCCAAUUUUCUGCCACCGAAUACAUUAGCAUGGGAUAAUGGAAUAGGACCCUGUCCUCCUAUUUUCAGUUGGUUUUGGCAGCGCGAGGACUAGGGUAAUGAUUAAUAGGGAUAGUUGGGGGCAUUAAUAUUUAAUUGUCAGAGGUGAAAUUCUUGGAUUUAUGAAAGAUUAACUUCUGCGAAAGCAUCUGCCAAGGAUGUUUUCAUUAAUCAAGAACGAAAGUUAGGGGAUCGAAGACGAUCAGAUACCGUCGUAGUCUUAACCAUAAACGAUGCCGACCAGCGAUUAGGAGACGUUGAAUACAAAACACCACCAUCGGCGCGGUCGUCCUUGGCGUCUGUCCCUUUCAACGGGGGCAGGCGCGAGGGCGGUUUAGCCCGGUGGCACCGGUGAA
rnacentral:rRNA from 3 species